rnacentral:lncRNA from 1 species
CUCAAUACAUACGAUGAAAUGGUAAGAAUUGUUUAAGUUUCCUACUGGUGAGUAUGAAUGUUUUGUUCAUAAACAUAAAGAGGUAAAAAGGGAUAUUUACCGUACCGUACAUUUUUUUCGAGAUGAUGAUUUUGAAUAUAUUUUUGUUGGACCGAUUGUAAAGGCAAGGCCUUAUUUCUUUACUUCUGGAUAAUCUAUAGUUAAUUACGACUUAAGAUUAAUACACAAGGUUGAGUGGUUAAAAAUUGUUUAAAUAAGAACAUUAUCUAACAGUUUACACUGAUUUAAAAUAAAGAAUAAAGGUGUAUAUUAUCUGACCAAGGAUUUGUACUAUACAAAUCUUUGAUUUGACCUUAUAUUAAUAAGUAUUUAUAUGUGAUACGGGCUAUCCAUACAUAAUCUGUAUGUUAAUUUUCUUAAUUCAAUUCAUUGUAUUUAUUCUUUAUAUGUAGGAGUCAUUAGUAUAUGGGCGCAGUUUAAGUGAUUUAUGAAAGUACAUAAAUAGGUGUAUUAAUGCAGUUCAAAGUACGAACAAUAUUUUACUUACCUUGAAUAGAUAAGUCCUCUGUGAUAUGUGUUUUGUGUAACUGGAUGUGGCUGUAUUAUUUAGAUUGAAGUGACAUGGAUGGUGCUCUUAGACUUUGGUAGAUUCCACAACGCAUAGACUUUUAUAGUGAUGUACAUAGACUAGUAAUAACGUAUUUGAUUUAGAUUAAGAGUCACAGUGUAUACGUGGUGUCGGAAGAUUUCUCGGAACACAUCCUUGUACAUAAAAUAGUGAAUAUAUAUAUAUAUAUAUAUAUAUAGUUGUGUGCUUCUUGUGCUUUGUGUUGUGAAGUAAGCGGUAUGCUGGAAUAGAAUCCUUAUCUUAUAAUGGAUUUGACUAUAUUCUACAAUCGUGAUCUAUUGGUUGUUAACUCGGACAAUGUUGUUAUCUAUCAUACCAGCAACCGGAAUUGAUUCAUAGGUGGUAUUAUACUGGUUUGUGUGUCUACAGUUUUACUCUUAUAUUUAUUUUAAGCACACAGUUGCUGACAGUAUAGUUGCUUACCCGUACUAGACUACAGAAGUAGUGCUGCUUUAGUUAAAGAAGAAGAUCAAUUAAUAUAAGCCGUAGUUUCAUGUGCGUUAACCCGCAUCCAAUCGACCACAGAUUGUUUUUCUGCAAGCAGUGGAACUACGUCAUAUCAUAUCCUAUAUAGCGUUCAAAAUUUUGUUGAACUAAAUACAUGGAUCCUAUAUAUAUCUAUCCAGGGUGUGUCUCAUGUGAAUGAUGCUCAUUUGUGAUAUAACGUAACAUUUUACUUAGCUACAUCGAUCAAAUAUACCACCAACAUGGUUAUAAGGUUAGAUAUCGAUAUCUUACGAGAAGAAGUGCAUAAGGCGGUUCUAAUGUUCGUUGAUAAAUACAGAGUAGAAAUAAUCCUGGUGCCAUUAGUACUAUGUUUAAUUAUAAUUGUGAGUUCGUGUAUAGGUAGUCUUUUAGCACAUUGUCUUGUAAAGUUAUGUGCGCGAUAUUGUUGUUGCAGACAUUAUCAUAAAGAUAAACGAAGGCGGCGGCGUCGGAGAUAUUCAUCAACACCAUGUUCAAGCGAUGAUGAUUAUAUAUCUGAGCAGAUGUAUCCAAACUAUAAAUUAAAAAGAAUAUAUGUACAUUAAGUUUGCAAUGUUUUUUUUUUUUUUUUUUCUUUCUGUACUUAUAGGGUAUUUCUAUCACUUACAUAUACAAGAUUCUGUUAACAUGGUUAACUUAUACAGCUUCCUUUCAAAACGUCUGUGUGGAACAAC